UCAUUCCAAAAAAAUGUUGUACCUCCUCCAUACUUCCAUAACUGUUUUUUUAUAAUAACCAGAAUUUCACAUUAACUAAGUCAUGGAUUAGGGUUCCGCUAUCACUUGUCGAAGCACGAUGCAACUGAAUCCAAAUGAAAUCCAUUGUAGCCGUUAAUAGAAAUGUUCAAAAAUAUCUGAAACUAGAAUGUAACGUGAAAUCUUUUUUAAAACGUUGUUAUGGAGGGCGGAAAAAGAAAAAAAAAGCAUACCGGGCUAAGAUAAAACCAUUCUAUCUUUCAUUAUCUUUUACAGAGUAUUCUUCCUCUUCAGUUAACAUUUCCUUUUGUUUCCUUUUCUUUCUCUUUGUUAUAUUUUUUUCAAUGUUUUUAGUUGGAGCUUUCUAGGUUUAUUCAUCUUUUUGUUUGUUUUAUUUUUUUGGUUGGGAUUUUUCAUCUUUCUGGUAAGGGUUUUGUACAGCGUGCACGCAGGUCUGUAUUUCUACUGUUUCCCUUUUUUUUUUUUGGGUUGGUUUCUCUGUGAUUUUUCCUUUUUUUUUGGUUGGUUUCUGUGUUUUACAUAGGAACAAGCCGAGCAGAGGAAGGGGCAGAGGAAAAGGAAGAGGCAGGGCAAAAUAAAGUGACAACUGAUAGAGGCAAAAUACUUGUGCUAGAGAAUGGAUUUGUGCAUGAAUAUUUGGCAAGUGAGGAAGGAUGGAGGAGUUGUGCUACAAGCUGAUUUUGCUAUUUUGAAUUGAAUGAUAAAACCACCGAGGAGGGAUGGAGGGAGUAAGAGAUAUUAAAGGGGACAUUCUCACCUGCUUGAAAUUGAAGGCUCUAUGCGUAGUCUACAUUCAGGUGCAACACAUAUUCUCGAUGGCGAAUGUUUGGGAUAACUCAACCAAUUUGUUGCUACCUACUUCUUGGUGGACAUGGGUUGAUGAGAAUUCACAUGUCAUUCAUGAUGUCAAUGGGGUUUUCAAAUUAAAUGUAAAGGUGCUAGAAGGUCAUCAAUCAAAUAUCUUGGCAUGGUGCAUGCUCUAUACAACUCGAUAUACAUUAUAUUGGCAUUAUUUAAAAUCAAGGCAAUGCCCUCUAUGACAUUGAAAGAGACCAAUUAGGUUGUCCCAUUACAAGUUGAUUGUUGAUGUUAAUUGUCUAGCCCUCUGUUGCAUCAUUAAUUUGUAUCCUCUUUCAACUUUGCUUAAUAAUAAAUAAAUUGACAAGUUGCAAAAGCUUCCU